rfam:Hordeum vulgare subsp. vulgare, WGS project CAJW01000000 data, contig: morex_contig_40798
GGUUUCGUAGUGUAGUGGUUAGCACUCCAGACUUUGAAUCUGGCGACCUGGGUUCGAAUCCCGGCAAGACCU